rnacentral:rRNA from 1 species
GAGUUUGAUCCUGGCUCAGAAUGAACGCUGGCGGCAGGCUUAACACAUGCAAGUCGAACGGGGUUAUAUUGUAGCUUGCUAUAGUAUAACUUAGUGGCAGACGGGUGAGUAAUGUAUAGGAAUCUACCUAGUAGUACGGAAUAAUUGUUGGAAACGGCAACUAAUACCGUAUACGCCCUACGGGGGAAAGAUUUAUCGCUAUUAGAUGAGCCUAUAUUAGAUUAGCUAGUUGGUAAGGUAAUGGCUUACCAAGGCAAUGAUCUAUAGCUGAUCUGAGAGGAUGAUCAGCCACACUGGAACUGAGAUACGGUCCAGACUCCUACGGGAGGCAGCAGUGGGGAAUAUUGGACAAUGGGCGAAAGCCUGAUCCAGCCAUGCCGCAUGAGUGAAGAAGGCCUUUGGGUUGUAAAGCUCUUUCGGUGAGGAAGAUAAUGACGGUACUCACAGAAGAAGUCCUGGCUAACUCCGUGCCAGCAGCCGCGGUAAUACNGA